rnacentral:rRNA from 1 species
CGCGUGGGGGAGGGCUCUUGGGUUGUAAACCCCUUUUCUCUGGGAAGAACCGAUGACGGUACCAGAGGAAUCAGCAUCGGCUAACUCCGUGCCAGCAGCCGCGGUAAGACGGAGGAUGCAAGCGUUAUCCGGAAUGAUUGGGCGUAAAGCGUCCGCAGGUGGCAGUUCAAGUCUGCUGUCAAAGACCGGGGCUCAACCUCGGAAAGGCAGUGGAAACUGAACAGCUAGAGUAUGGUAGGGGCAGAGGGAAUUCCCGGUGUAGCGGUGAAAUGCGUAGAGAUCGGGAAGAACAUCGGUGGCGAAGGCGCUCUGCUGGACCAUAACUGACACUCAGGGACGAAAGCUAGGGGAGCGAAUGGGAUUAGAUACCCCCCGUAAACGAUGGAUACUAGGUGUUGUCUGUAUCGCCCGGACAGUGCCGUAGCUAACGCGUUAAGUAUCCCGCCUGGGGAGUACGCACGCAAGUGUGAAACUCAAAGGAAUUGACGGGGCCCGCACAAGCGGUGGAGUAUGUGGUUUAA